rnacentral:rRNA from 1 species
UACAGAGGGUGCGAGCGUUAAUCGGAAUUACUGGGCGUAAAGCGCGCGUAGGCGGCUUUGCAAGUCGGGUGUGAAAUCCCCAGGCUUAACCUGGGAACUGCAUUCGAGACUGCAUUGCUAGAGUAUGGGAGAGGGAAGUGGAAUUCCACGUGUAGCAGUGAAAUGCGUAGAGAUGUGGAGGAACACCGAUGGCGAAGGCAGCCCCCUGGGGCCAAUACUGACGCUCAUGCACGAAAGCGUGGGGAGCAAACAGG